rnacentral:tRNA from 1 species
GGUGGCUCAGUGGUAGAGUGCUUGCCUUGCAUGCGGGAGGCCCUGGGUUCGAUUCCUCAGCACCA